GUGGUCCAGGGCUCUUAGGUGUCUGCUGUAGGUGGUCCAGGGCUCUUAGGUGUCUGCUGUAGGUGGUCCAGGGCUGUAGGUGGUCCAGGGCUCUUAGGUGUCUGCUGUAGGUGGUCCAGGGCUCUUAGGUGUCUGCUGUAGGUGGUCAAGGGCUCUUAGGUGUCUGCUGUAGGUGGUCCAGGGCUCUUAGGUGUCUGCUGUAGGUGGUCCAGGGCUGUAGGUGGUCCAGGGCUCUUAGGUGUCUGCUGUAGGUGGUCCAGGGCUGUAGGUGUCUGCUGUAGGUGGUCCAGGGCUGUAGGUGGUCCAGGGCUCUU